rnacentral:rRNA from 1 species
ACGAACGCUGGCGGCACGCUUAACACAUGCAAGUCGAACGAGAGAAGAGGAGCUUGCUUUUCUGAUCUAGUGGCGGACGGGUGAGUAACACGUGAGCAAUCUGCCUUUCAGAGGGGGAUACCGAUUGGAAACGAUCGUUAAUACCGCAUAACAUAAUUGAACCGCAUGAUUUGAUUAUCAAAGAUUUAUCGCUGAAAGAUGAGCUCGCGUCUGAUUAGCUAGUUGGUAAGGUAACGGCUUACCAAGGCGACGAUCAGUAGCCGGACUGAGAGGUUGAUCGGCCACAUUGGGACUGAGACACGGCCCAGACUCCUACGGGAGGCAGCAGUGGGGAAUAUUGCACAAUGGAGGAAACUCUGAUGCAGCGAUGCCGCGUGAGGGAAGAAGGUUUUAGGAUUGUAAACCUCUGUCUUCAGGGACGAAAAAAGACGGUACCUGAGGAGGAAGCUCCGGCUAACUACGUGCCAGCAGCCGCGGUAAUACGUAGGGAGCGAGCGUUGUCCGGAAUUACUGGGUGUAAAGGGAGCGUAGGCGGGAUCGAAAGUCAGAUGUGAAAACUAUGGGCUUAACCCAUAAACUGCAUUUGAAACUGUGGUUCUUGAGUGAAGUAGAGGUAAGCGGAAUUCCUAGUGUAGCGGUGAAAUGCGUAGAUAUUAGGAGGAACAUCAGUGGCGAAGGCGGCUUACUGGGCUUUAACUGACGCUGAGGCUCGAAAGCGUGGGGAGCAAACAGGAUUAGAUACCCUGGUAGUCCACGCCGUAAACGAUGAUUACUAGGUGUGGGGGGACUGACCCCUUCCGUGCCGCAGCAAACGCAAUAAGUAAUCCACCUGGGGAGUACGACCGCAAGGUUGAAACUCAAAGGAAUUGACGGGGGCCCGCACAAGCAGUGGAGUAUGUGGAUUAAUUCGAAGCAACGCGAAGAACCUUACCAGGUCUUGACAUCGUAUGCAUAGCUCAGAGAUGAGUGAAAUCUCUUCGGAGACAUAUAGACAGGUGGUGCAUGGUUGUCGUCAGCUCGUGUCGUGAGAUGUUGGGUUAAGUCCCGCAACGAGCGCAACCCUUACUGUUAGUUGCUACGCAAGAGCACUCUAGCAGGACUGCCGUUGACAAAACGGAGGAAGGUGGGGAUGACGUCAAAUCAUCAUGCCCCUUAUGACCUGGGCCUCACACGUACUACAAUGGCUGUCAACAGAGGGAUGCAAAGCCGCGAGGUGGAGCGAACCCCUAAAAGCAGUCUUAGUUCGGAUUGUAGGCUGCAACCCGCCUACAUGAAGUCGGAAUUGCUAGUAAUCGCAGAUCAGCAUGCUGCGGUGAAUACGUUCCCGGGCCUUGUACACACCGCCCGUCACGCCAUGGGAGUCGGUAACACCCGAAGCCUGUAGUCUAACCGCAAGGAGGACGCAGUCGAAGGUGGGAUUGAUGACUGGGGUG